AGCUUUGCACCGUGGCAGUAUCGUAGCCAAUGAGGUUGAUCCGAGGCGCGAUUAUUGCUAAUUGAAAACAUUCUUAGGUUGUGAGCAAGAUGCCUGCAGCAGCUCCCGAUAUGGCAGUGUCCAGGGGACCAAGAAAGGGCUGUCUCGCUUUGUGCCUCCUUCUUAGGA
ensembl:snRNA U4 U4 spliceosomal RNA